rnacentral:lncRNA from 1 species
GGUGGAAAGUGAAGGAUAAACAGUGGAAAGAGCUUUUAAUCAGCUACGAUCAAAGAAAAUGGUGAGAAGAGGUAGGAACCCUAACAUAAUGUGCAGAUCUGGUGAGAAACGCAAGAUCAAAGAGUGUUUAGGGUUUUGUGGAGAGGCAAAAUGAAGAUUCUUUGAAGAGAAUGAGGCUUAUCGUGAAGAAAUCUUGAAAGGAAGUGAGUUGCUUCUGGUGUGUUCGAGAGAAAAGUGGAAAUGUGUUAAUGAGGUUCUGAUGCGUGAGAAGGAGAAAUGAAGACAUGGUGAAGUGGUGCACGAGACCAAAGAGGACACGUGGCUAAGGAACGCCACUGGUCAGAAGCGGAAUGGAGGGAACGAUGAUGUUGUGUGAUGAGAGAGAAACACCGUUGAGUUUUGGAAAAUGGAAGUGAGAGAGGUGCUUGGAAGGUGGCUAGAGGGGUCUUUGGACUCUCUAGCCUAUGAAUUUCAAGA